rnacentral:rRNA from 1 species
GACGAACGCUGGCGGCGUGCCUAAUACAUGCAAGUUGAGCGCUGAAGGUUGGUACUUGUACCAACUGGAUGAGCAGCGAACGGGUGAGUAACGCGUGGGGAAUCUGCCUUUGAGCGGGGACAACAUUUGGAAACGAAUGCUAAUACCGCAUAAAAACUUUAAACACAAGUUUUAAGGUUGAAAGAUGCAAUUGCAUCACUCAAAGAUGAUCCCGCGUUGUAUUAGCUAGUUGGUGAGGUAAAGGCUCACCAAGGCGAUGAUACAUAGCCGACCUGAGAGGGUGAUCGGCCACAUUGGGACUGAGACACGGCCCAAACUCCUACGGGAGGCAGCAGUAGGGAAUCUUCGGCAAUGGACGAAAGUCUGACCGCGCAACGCCGCGUGAGUGAAGAAGGUUUUCGGAUCGUAAAACUCUGUUGGUAGAGAAGAACGUUGGUGAGAGUGGAAAGCUCAUCAAGUGACGGUAACUACCCAGAAAGGGACGGCUAACUACGUG